GCUGAAAUGCUUUUGGUUUUGCAGAUACUUGUGCAUAUCACUUCUCACAUAGCUGGUACUGUUAAAUGUUGCUGAUUUUGAUUGGCAAAAAAACUCUGAUAGAUAGGUAGGUAGGUAGAUAGACGAAAUUAAGAAGUGCCUUUUCAGACAGUACAUACAGACAGACACUCCUGCUGUGAGGAGGAGCCUUCCGUCCUAGAGGACUUUUUUAAAUCCCUGAAAAUGCCUUCUGUAAGUGUAGAACUCUUGGCUGAACCGGAAAGGGAUUUCUCAGUUAUGGAGAUAAUGUCGGCAAUCGUUGCCAUGCAAAGUGGCAAAUCUCCUGGGCCAGAUGGUUUCCCAACCGAAUUUUUCAAAAAGUUCUCCAACCAGUUAUCUCCUUUGUUAUUGUUAGUGUUCAAAGAAUCCUUAGUCACCAAUUCCUUGCCCCUAACUAUGCGUCAAGCAGUCAUCUCUUUAUUACUUAAAAAGGAUAAAAAAAACCUCAAUUGCCACUCAUAUCGUCCUGUCUCGAUGCUGAAUACAGACGCGAAGAUUCUUGCAAAAAUUUUGGCGCGUCGUCUUGAAAACAUUGUACCUAGUAUUAUUACAUCUGACCAGACAGGAUUUAUAAGAAAUUGCUAUUCAUUUUUUAAUAUCAGGUGUUUAUUUAAUAUCGUUUAUUGUCCCACUCCACCCGAUUCUGGGAACAUUGAGGUGAUGCUUUCUCUCGAUGCUGAAAAAGCGUUUGAUCGGGUGGAGUGGGACUAUCUUUUCAAGACUCUGGAAGCAUUUCAUUUCGGUCCUAAAUUCAUCUCCUGGAUUAGAAUCCUAUACACAUUGCCGAUGGCUGCAGUUCGCACCAACAAUAAUUUAUCCACCUAUUUCGAGCUGAAACGGGGCACAAGACAGGGGUGCCCUCUGUAACCGCUUUUGUUUGCUGUUGCACUUGAGGCAGUGCCCCACCUUUAAAGGAAUAUACCGGGCAGGUUUGGAGCAUAAAGUCUCACUUUAUGCCGAUGACAUGUUAUUAUUUAUAUCGGACCCCCUCUCAAGCCUUCCUGAAUUAUCGACUUUACUCACAAAGUUCGGAAAACUAUCUGGCUAUAAAGUCAAUUUUGAAAAAGUGAACUUAUGCCUAUCUCUUCUGUAGACAGAUCAUACUUUGGGACGACCCCCUUUAAAUUUAGUUCCAACAAAAUAAAAUAUUUAGGUAUUUGGGUCACAUGUAAUCAUAAGGAUCUCUAUAAGGCUAAUUAUCAUCCCCUCUUAAGUAAUCUUAAACAAGACCUGGAGCGUUGGGACCUUCUGCCUCUCUCCUUGGGGGGAAGGAUCAACACGAUUAAGAUGAACGUUCUCCCUAAGUUUCUAUAUCUAUUUCAAUGUCUUCCUAUUUUUCUAACAAAAUCUUUUUUUUCCAAAUUAAACAGUCAGAUUUCAUCAUUUAUUUGGCAUAAAAAGCAGCCCAGGAUUAAUGAAAAUAUAUUACAGAGGCCUUGCACAAUAGGAUGUAUGGCACUUCCAAAUUUUAUGUAUUAUCACUGUGCUGCCAAUAUAAGAGCUUUGCUAUAUUAGAUGAGAGAUGAUGGCUCGGAUGUUAACAGUGCUGAAUGGACAGGGCUGGAGAGGGCAUCCAUCGGUUCUUCUUCCCCAGCAGCUCUAUUUUGUUCCAAAUUACCUUUGCAUCAGCCUAUCUCAGCUUUCACUACUAAUCCAGUUGUUAUCCAUUCAAUUAAAACCUGGAACCAGUUUAGAAGGACCUUUAAUCUCACUGAUCUUUCACUGGCUACACCAUUGAUAAAAAAUCAUAUGUUUGUCCUGUCAAUGAUGGAUGUUUUUAAUGUCUGGGCAAGAAGUGGAAUAUGUAUGUUAUCUGAUCUUUACAUUGAAAAUAAGUUUGCUUCUUUUGCACAGCUGCAACAUAAAUAUGGCCCUAACAAAUCACACUUCUACAGGUAUUUGCAGCUUAGAGGUUUUGUGUCUUCCAACUCUGACUGUUUUCCACUGAGCCCUCCUGAAUCUCUGCUUGAAACAAUUUUGAAAUCUAAAUUCAACAUAAAAAAAAUAAUUGGCAGAAUUUAUACAUUACUCAAUACACAUAACAUGAACAGUCUGGACGGCUUAGAAUAAAAUGGGAAACCGACUUAGAUCAAACGAUUUCAGAGGAAACAUGGCAAAAAAUUAUUCAGCGAAUUUACUCUUCCUCUAUAUGCCUCAGACACACUGUACUUCAAUUCAAAAUAGUUCGUCUUCAUUGCACCAAAGAUAGAUUGUCUAGGAUUAAGGCAGAUUUUGACCCUACAUGUGAUCGUUGCAGACAAGCUCCUGCUACACUACUGCACAUGUUUUGGUCGUGCCCCAUGUUAUACAGUUUCUGGCAUUCUAUCUUUGAGGCAUUCUCGAGAAUAUGUGGGAAAACAGUGCACCCAUCUCCUUUGAUUUCACGAUUUGUUGUGGUGCCGCUUUUUCCAGGAACCACCUAGGUAUGAUGGCCUUCUGCUCUUUGCUGGCCAGGAGACUUAUCCUGUUUAAAUGGAUAGAUGCCCCCCCACCCCCCCAACGUAUGGCAAAUGGAUAAGGGAAGUUAUGAGUUAUGUUCACUUAGAAAAAAAUAGAUAUACUGUAAGAGGGACCACUAGAAAACUGUAUGUCAUUUGGCAGCCAUUUAUCUCCUUUGUGGAAGGUAUGGCAGCUAUUAACAUGUCUAUGUAACCCAAAUGUAUGUUUUUUUUUUUUUUCUUCUUCUUUAUUUUCACUUCGUUAUAGUUUUCUUUUUAUUCACCUAGUCUGUGUAUAUGUCAAUCUGGAUGUAUUGAAUUUUUCUUGGGUUCCAGUAAAAGUGGGUGGGGGGCACGGGAAGUUUGUAUGUUUGGACAGGAACUAAUCUUGUUUGUCCCAUGUGUGAAUUGUAUUUCUUGUGUUAUAUUUGAAAAAUAAAAAAGACCUUGAUCCAAAAAAAAAAAGGGAAAAUAAAACGGACAGUAAAACCAGUGCAGAGUUAAAACUAGUAAAAGAAUUUAAACUACACCCAUAAAUACAUAGGCAACACACAGUGGUGUGCACAGGUAGACACUGGGUGGUGCUAAAGCACCUCCCCUAUGUCCUCUGGACCAAGCAAGUGCCCGUUUGGGAAUUCACUUUUCUUUUUGUGGCCCAUGCUGAGAUGAUCAUGUAUGAGUGCUCGUCGAUUAAAAGCGUGUGAUAAUAAUGCCCCAAUUAAUUUUCCCUCCACCCCCCAUCCUACCCACGCACACCUCUGUCAAUGUGAACGCACAGAGCAGACAGCUGCAGCCCAAAUACACCUCCUCGGCUCUUCCCCUGCCCACCAGCCAGGUAACAUAUGAAUGAAUGGAGUUGUGUGUGUUGUUUUCCCCCUAAGCCUCAGUUGCUGAGCUGUAACUUGCAUUUAUUUGUCUUUGUUGUCUCAACACCACACAGCUGGGCAUAAAUUAGCCGGCUGUUAACCUGCUUAACAAGCUAGACGCGACCCCAAAUCAAUAAUAGAUAUAUGACAUGAUGAUGAUGACCACCAGUAGAGUUUGUCAUUGGUAUCCUACAGCAUGUGAAUCUAUCAGUAUACUUAUGUAAGAUGAAUAUUUAGCUACAGUUUAAGUUUACAGUCUUAUUUACCGUAUAUUGUUGGUCUCUUUUUAUUUACCAAUUGCAGCAUAAUGCCUAGAAAGGAGAGGAAAAGAAGUAAAAGAGAAAGGGAGCUACAACAGGCAGCCCAGGGGAGCAGCUCUCUGCUCUCCUGGAUAAAAGCAUCCACAGGCAGCAAGGAGGAAGAGCAGGAUGAAAGGUCAGAGUCAAGAGUCAUGUUCACUGUUUAGAGCAUUUUAAAGCUCAGAUUUUGAAGUUGAACUGUUCCUCUAAUUUUACUAAAAUAUCUUAAAAGCUGUCUACAUUUUAUUUUAACUUUAAAAAGUGGUUUGGCUGUACUAAAUUAGGCAUUAAGCUAUUUUAGCUAAUGAUAUUAUUUUGUACCAACAAGUUAUUUCUAUGUUACAAGACUUGCAGUAAUCUGUAUUUACCUUAAUAGGUUAUAUUCAACCUUAAAAAAUAGGCUAUUACUAAAACUAUUAUUAUUCUAUUCUAGGCAGCUACAACAGGGAAGCAGCAGUGUGAAACCAGUUCAAAGGUCAAGUAAUUUUAUUGAGAUAUUGACAGAAACAAAUAUGCAAUUACAUUCAACAUAUGCCUGUAAUGUUGAUUUAUUUUUUAAAUCUUACACUGCUAUAAUAAGGCAGCCGUCAGUUCUACAUGUUGCAUAAAGUGCCCUUGUUUUUCACUGAGCACCUGCCCCCCAAAAUGUGUGUGCACGCCACUGUGGAACACAUCAUCUGGCUUUCAAGGAGGCGUUGAUGGAACGGACAGCGUUUGGGAAAAAGCUGUUUUGCAGUCUUUUUGUCCUGGCGAUGGCCCUGUACCGUCUGCCUGAUCACAGUCCUUAAUGAUGUUGGUGGCUCUCCUGAGGCAGUAAGAGCUGCGAAGGUCCUCCAGUGUGGGCAGAGAGCUUCCAAUGACUUUCCCAGCCAUCCAACAGUCUUUAACUCUAAAAAAAAACAAUGGGGAUGCAAAGGACAACCCGAUCUGACUGAAUCUACAGGAAGGAGUCACGGUGUAGGUACACCGAAUGGCUUCACUCCACCUGCUAUGAUAAAACACAACAAAAACAGCUUAUGUUGUUGUUGCUGUACCUGUUUAUCCUCGGCAUCUUUUUCUCUCUGCUUCUCCCUCUAUUCCUCUCAGUGUUUCUCCUACAGUACCGGGAUACCCCCACCCUGCCAACGAGAUUCCAACC